rnacentral:rRNA from 1 species
AUACGUAGGGGGCGAGCGUUGUCCGGAAUGACUGGGCGUAAAGGGCGUGUAGGCGGCGGUGUAAGUCUGGAGUGAAAGUCCCGCAUUCGAUGUGGGAAUUGCUUUGGAUACUGCAGUGCUAGAGUGCGGAAGAGGUAAGUGGAAUUCCCAGUGUAGCGGUGAAAUGCGUAGAGAUUGGGAGGAACACCAGUGGCGAAGGCGACUUACUGGGCCGUAACUGACGCUGAGGCGCGAAAGCGUGGGGAGCGAACAGGAUUAGAUACCCUGGUAGUCCACGCGGUAAACGAUGAAUGCUAGGUGUUGCGGGUAUCGACCCCUGCAGUGCCGGAGUAAACACAAUAAGCAUUCCGCCUGGGGAGUACGGCCGCAAGGUUGAAACUCAAAUGAAUUGGCGGGG